GUAUCACGUUGUCUGCCUACCUCUCCCGUCUCCAGCCAUCUCAUCCUCCUCUGCUCCUCCUCUUCCUCACCACGUCCCAUUUACUUCUUGUGCGGCAAAACCCUUAACUCCUUCGCGAACACGGUGCUUGCUAAGGAAGCCAGGAAAGCAUUAUAGGGGGGGGGGAUCGAAGGUUUGAGGGUGAGACGACACAGAGGAAGCUUGCGGGAAGGAUCUGGACAGGAUGCAAGUGUGUUUUCAAACUAAGGAUUUGAUUAUUGCCACUGUGUUCCAAGAAGAAACCCAAAGCAUGGUACCAGCAUGAGAGAGCAAGCGGAAGGGCCCAAAUUGAUCCAAAGGGAAAGAGAAGCUGGUGAGAGCACGGCUAAGGUAGAAGAGAAGAAUUUAGCUAUUUAGUUAAUCAAUAUGAAAAAUUAAUACAUUAUGUGUUUAUAUUCCCUUUCGUGAUAUUUUAUGUGUUUGUAUUUUCUUCCUAUUUAUGAAUCAUGUAAAUUAUACUAUUAUAUUUGUAUGUACAUACAUAGGGAGGAGUACUUGGGGGUAGUUUUAAUAUGGCUGGGGUUCAAUAUAUAUUUGUAUAUAUUAAUAAUAUAUUUGUGAUAUGAGUGAAUUAGUGCUUAUAAGACAUGAUUGAUUAUAAUUGGAACAAAAAAGCAGAGUUUUCAAA